ensembl:lncRNA
AGCUCAUUACGCGAUUCCUCUGUUGGGUUUCUUAGUAUCGUCAAGUUGUUUGAUAUUUGUGUUCCAAUUCAGCAUUUCAUCCCUUCUCCUUCUUUCUUUUGUAAACAAUGAGUGAACUUAUACAUCCUCUUAAUACUGGAGUUCCUGUUUCCCAUAAAAAGAUUUGGUGAUGACUUUGGAGAAUCAUUUAUUAGGAAGGACGCACACUGUUUCUUACAGUUGCGUGUCAAACUCAGGGUGUUUAAAGCUGUAUUAAAGCAUCAUCUGGUGGUGGUUUAUGCAGAUACAUGGUUUUAUUGAUGGGGUGGUUCUUUGAGUCUGAAAUAUUAGUUGUGAUGGCUUUUAUGGUGAGGAAGAAGUCAAUCACGUCACUAAAUUUCACCGAGACCAAUUUAUCUGAAACACCUUAUCUGAGCUCUGGCGGACUCGAUUAUUUUUCUGUAUAUGCACACAAUGUUUGUAUCCUAAAUGUACUGAUGUUAAUAUGAUUUUAGGCUGCAGUUAUUUCCAGCAGUUUGGGGACGCGCUGCACGGUUGUCUCCAGCAGGUCGUGCCUGUGAGUCAGAGGCAAGAUACAAAGAAGAAGCUGGAGAAGAACAACUGGACUUCUCGUCGUCUACGAGUCAGCUGUCAUCUUCUGAAAUGUGUCCAGGAGUGCACACGUGUCACUGCAUGCACGAGUUCUGUGGUCACGCUAAAACUGUAUGAGCUUUGAUUGAAAUCAUGAUGAAAAGCGCAAAACAAAUUUACCUCAGAAAUAAUCAAAUCGUCUUUUGGAUUUCAGUUUCGCUGAUCGCGCCCCCUCCCACCAUCAGCACUUCUCCUUUCAACAGAGGCGCACUGCGCUUUUACGCACGACUCCAGUGACACUGUGGAGGAGAGCUCAAAGCCAUGCAGAGCCACAACACCAUCAAUGUGUGAGCGUUUUACUGCCGCCGCUGCAAGAAGAUGAUCCUGCUGCCUGGUCUGCUGUUCAUCCUCUGGGGAGAACCGGCUCGGUGCCUGGCGGAGGGUGGAGGCUUUGACUUUUACGGAGAGAUCCGCCAGUACACCGUGGCCACCAACACGGUUUACGUCGCUACAGAGGAGAAGCUGUACCAGCUGAACCACGACCUGACUCUGGUCCGCAGUGUGACCCAGAGAGGAAUCGUAAAGAGUGGGGAACAGUUCUACGAUGCGCUGUUUCAUCGGGUUUCUGAGACGGAUCAGUGGAGCACAACUUUCAGAGUCAAUGUGUUAUUACCGUUUGUUGAAAAUGACACUCUGAUCAGCUGUGGUGUGAUCGACAGAGGAUGCGGUGUGUGCGAGCUGCUGGACCUGGAGGACAUCUCCAAUGUGUUGCACAGGGAGCUCAUCUCGGUGGGGCCCCAGCGGCGCAACAGCAGCGCUUCCGUCGGCUUCCUGGUCAAUGUGGAGAAGACAAGGACCGAGACCGAGACUUACAUUCUGACUGCCAUACAGCCAGACAAAAAGAACCACGAUAAGAACCACUGUCCUUCUUCAAAACCUGUGAACCUUCAUAAUACGAACAACAACCAGAUGGGUUCGAUAUUUUCCACUUCUGCCGAUGGAUAUAGCACGAUCCAUGUUGUAGAUAGUGUGGAGUUUGUGGAUGGGUUUCAGCUCGGUUUUAUCAUGUAUCUUUUCUCCAACCUGCCUUCAAGCGACAAAAGCAACAAAGUCCGUCUCAUUUGGCUCGAGGGAAAAACCAGCAAAACCGAAACUUUCAAGUCACUGUGGGGAGCGACUCUCAGCAUCUCUGACGGCGGUAGAGGCAGCAGACUCGAGGCCUCCUCGGUGAUACCGGGUGGUCCGCCGGUUCUGUGGAGCGGCGUGUUCAGUGUGGACGAAGGACGAACCAACACAGAGCUGGUGCUUUUUGACAUCAGUCCGGAUCUCACCGGAGAAAAAGAUGAAGAUCCGGACUUCUGCCUCAAGUCAGACUGUACUCUCGAGUCAACACCACAGCCGAAAAUGCUGAAGCCGAAGAAGGUGCUCUUCAGGCAGAACUACAUGACCUCUGUGCUGGCAGUGAGACAGAAGGCCUGGGUAGUUUUCCUCAUUGGGACAGGAGAUGGGCAGCUCAUAAAGCUUGCCGUGGACAAGAACUAUCACACCACCUGUCCCAAGGUGCUCUACAGGGCCAAUGAUGACCGCAAAGUGCUUCCAAAAAUGCAUCUGGAUCCAGUGGAUUUAAAACAUGUGUACGUGCCAUUUCAAAACCAGGUAGGCGCAUUGGACAGGCUGUGUUGAACAUCGGGAGAUUGUGAUUACCAGUACUUUAAAUUUAGUUGAUUGCCUGAAUGUCAUCUCUAUGUUAGCCAUAUUUCAAAGUGUUUUUGAUUGUGUUUUGUUCUAGAUUAAGCGUGUAGCUGUCUCAAACUGCAGCACAUACACAAAUGUGGAAGACUGUUGGUCUGCACAGGAUCCAUACUGUGUCUGGUGCGGCUCUAAAGGAAGGUCAGGGAAACAACAUGUGCAGUUGAAACCAUCCAGUAAGUAUAAACAACAAGUACAAACCUAAAUUAAACAUCAUUUUCUCUUCCUAGUUGCACAUUUGAAGAUGACUGCCCAGGCUCAGACUGGUUGUCCAUUCCUGACGACUCUCAACAGAAGAUGAUUUCCCACCAAGUUACCAUGGACAACACUGGACAGGUAUACAGUAGAGCAUAUCCAAGCUUUAAACUUCACUAAGUUGUGACUGUCAUCUAUUUCUCCUCUAAACACUCACUUCCUUUCUCAGAGCACACUUACAAUCCAGACACACGUGACUGCGGGUUCUGAGGCGCUCGCUAACUUCGCCUGUCAGUUCUCCACAAGUUCCAGUCAGCUUUGUAUCAGGAACAGCCCUCCUCCACAGUUCCCACAAUGCACCUGCAUCCUUACAAACAGCACACUUCCUGCUGAAGGUCAGUGACUUUUGGUAAACAUAAUAAUUCAGUUAAUUAAAUAACUGACAAUCAAGGACCCUCAGACAGAUUGAUGAUUGUGACCAAGACUCUGACAUUGACUCUAUUAUUUUCACUCAACAGGUAUGCAUGUCACAGUUAAGAUUAGACUUGGGAAGACACGUUUGACUGAACCACUGAAGAUAUCCAACUGUGCUGACAUCAUUGGACCACCAACCUCUGUCCUGUAAGUCCAUACGCAAGUAGACAGAUAAUUCCUACCAUAAAUUAUAGAAGAUAGAGCUGAAAAAGCUAAAAUACAUAAUCAGUUA